rnacentral:rRNA from 1 species
UACGGAGGGUGCAAGCGUUGUUCGGAUUUACUGGGCGUAAAGCGCGCGCAGGUGGAUGGACAAGUCGGAAGUGAAAUCUUGAGGCUCAACCUCGAGGCUGCUCCCGAAACUGUUCGUCUAGGGACUGGUAGAGGCUGGUAGAAUUCCCGGUGUAGCGGUGGAAUGCGUAGAGAUCGGGAAGAAUACCCGUGGCGAAGGCGGGUCUCUGGGCCGAUACUGACGCUGAGGAGCGAAAGCGUGGGGAGCGAACAGG